AGGGUUUUUUUUCCCUCGUUGUUUACCCCGUCGACAUCUCUAUAUAUGAUGAGAGACAAUGGGUUGCUCUCUUGUUAACAUCUGUAAGUUGUUUUCCAUGAGAGAAGAUAAGUAGAAAACCAAAAAGACAGAAAGAGGAGAGAAGGAAACAGGGAGAUUUGAUUUCAGAAUAUUGUGAGAAUAAAAACCAGAGAAGAGAAAAAGUGGGGGUUGUUUGAUUUGAGAUCGGGAUAUUAAGAAGAUUUGAGCUGAAUUCCAAUAAUCCAUCAAGUUCCAGUUGGCGAGUAUUACAUAUGGCUUGAGUGAUUCUUUUCACGUUGGAUCGUUGGAAGAAUAGAAUCUGUCUCCUCAUUUUGUGUUCCUUGUGUACAAAUUCUGAUCUCUUUUCAGAUGAUGUGUGUAUAAAUGCAUUUUUGGGUUGUAUAUUUUUUGAUAACAAACUUUAUAUAUGAAGCAUGUUUA